AUGUGUCCCUCACACGCCUCUACCCUCCCCAGCAUCCUGGUGUCCUCUCCACCACCGGGCUGCCAUUCAAGCACACCUGCAAUGGAGGCUGGGGUGAGGCCCAUCUGCUUCCAAGGAGCCAUGGGCUACUCCUCAGAGACCCUAUUCCAGCGCCCUUGUUCACAAAUGGUGAAACUGAGGCCCAGAAGAAGAGGGCCUUGCCCAGCUUCAGCCCUCCGUUGUCUCUAUGGGCCUUCCUCCCAGGCCCCCAUAAAUAAGAAAUCCCAGCACAAACUGCAGGGUGGCUUAGAGGUGCCUCUGGCAGUCUUAGCCCUGCCUUCCGGAGCCCUGAAACCUGCUCCAUACUCCCUCCUUGGCUCCCCAAAGGCCCUUAGAGCUUCCCCAUGUGGGGCACUGCACCUGGAGGAUGCCAGCUGCCUGCUUUUCCCUGAGAGACCCUCUACCCAUCCCCUUGCCUGCUUCCUGUGGGCUGAGGAAGGGUCCUGUGCUACCCACCCCCCACCCCCGCCCCCAGCCCUGCCUGGGGACUCCCUGUCUGAUGGCUUGUGGCUCCUCCAAGGGCUUCUCCAGGAGGCAGAUCUGCUGAACCAGGUCAGGGGAAAUGGAGAGGAUGGGGAGAAGAGACCAAAUGGGGUUGCAGGGCAGGGGCGCUCAGAAGAUGCCCAGCUUGGGUCUCUCCCGGGCGUUGUCUUUCUGGGUGUCAGGCAGGCCUCUUGGCUGCCCUGCCCCCACCAGGUGUGGGGCUUCCGGCUGCUGAGAGGCCCCUUUGUGCCUUAUCUUCUCUGCCUUGGUGGUGGCUGUAUCCAGAUAAGCAUCCUAUUGGGGACUGAAAUUCCAGACUGGCUGCCCACUCCCCCACCUGGGGGUCUGGGACCUGCCAGCUGCACUUUCCACAGGACACAACCAGAGUGUACAAUCCACUUAGAAUUCCUCCCAGCUGCACAUUUUCCCCGGGACACCCCUCCCAUCUGCACACUUGGACCUGCACCCCCACCACCGCGUUGGCCAAGCAGAUAG
rnacentral:lncRNA from 1 species